rnacentral:rRNA from 1 species
AGUGAACGCUGGCGGUAGGCCUAACACAUGCAAGUCGAACGGCAGCACAGUAAGAGCUUGCUCUUACGGGUGGCGAGUGGCGGACGGGUGAGGAAUACAUCGGAAUCUACUUUUUCGUGGGGGAUAACGUAGGGAAACUUACGCUAAUACCGCAUACGACCUACGGGUGAAAGCAGGGGAUCUUCGGACCUUGCGCGAUUGAAUGAGCCGAUGUCGGAUUAGCUAGUUGGCGGGGUAAAGGCCCACCAAGGCGACGAUCCGUAGCUGGUCUGAGAGGAUGAUCAGCAAAACUGGAACUGAGACACGGUCCAGACUCCUACGGGAGGCAGCAGUGGGGAAUAUUGGACAAUGGGCGCAAGCAUGAUCCAGCAAUACCGCGUGGGUGAAGAAGGCCUUCGGGUUGUAAAGCCCUUUUGUUGGGAAAGAAAAGCAGCAGGUUAAUACCCCGCUGUUCUGACGGUACCCAAAGAAUAAGCACCGGCUAACUUCGUG